GACGAACCGUGCGAACGUUGUUCGGAAUCACUGGGCUUAAAGGGCGCGUAGGCGGACCACCAAGUCCGGGGUGAAAUCUUUCGGCUCAACCGGAAAACAGCCUUGGAUACUGGCGGUCUCGAGCGAGGUAGGGGCAGCUGGAACUUCCGGUGGAGCGGUGAAAUGCGUUGAUAUCGAGAGGAACACCUGUGGCGAAAGCGGCUCACUGGACCAUAACUGACGCUGAGGCGCGAAAGCUAGGGGAGCAAACAGG
rnacentral:rRNA from 1 species